GAAUGAAAGGAUUGUAUGUGUGUUUAUGCAGGUAUACCAGUGCAAUAAACACAGAGAGAGAGAGAGAGAGGAAUCAUUGUGUUCGUCUUUUAAUUGUAUUAAUUCAGUGAAGACCAUUACAUGGGUGAUUCAUCAUUGAGAACACGCAGAGACCCGUCGUGUGUGUGUGUGUGUGUGUGUGUGUGUGUGUGUGUGUGUGUGUGUGUGUGUGUGUGUGUGUGUGUGUGUGUGUGUGUGUGUGUGUGUGUGUCAGAGAGAGUACAGGUGUGUGUACCUGUACUGUAGCUCUUACUGCUCUUCUGCUAAAUAAACCAGUUCAAUCCGGUCUGAGAAGAGAAAGUAAACAGCGCAGUUUAGUGAAGAGAGAAAUAUAAAGUUGUUCAGGAGAAAAUCACAGUCAGAAACUGAAUUUAAAGCUGUAAUAUGUGAAUGUUAUAAAUCUAGACUUCAUAAAGAAGAAUUCUGGUGUGCUGCAGUGUUUCUCUACAUGUGUGAACAGCUUUAAAGCUUCAAUCUGUAGGAGGAAACUUGAGCUCUGAAAGGAAUCACUAUACGGAAGUGAAGAAAAUCAAUCAUGGGGAACACAGUUGGGACUCCCACUAACCCUCAGAAGUUUUUGGAUCAGGACUAUGAGGAACUGCGCAGAGAUUCGGUUGAAUCUAAAAGUAGAUUUGUUGAUGAGACGUUUCCUCCGGAUAAGAGCUCCAUCGGUCAAAACCUGCUGGAUAAUGAUAAGAUGGCGAGAGUGAAGUGGAUACGACCCACCAACAUGGUUAAAGAUCCGUAUCUAGUCGUGAAAGGAGAGUCCAGGUUUGACUUCGCUCAGGGAGACCUCGGAGACUGCUGGUUUCUGGCUGCGAUCGGAGCGAUCACGUUUCAGAAGGACAUCAUGGAUGAGAUCAUUCCUGAGAACCAGUCGUUCAGCAAGGAUUACGCUGGAAUAUUUCAUUUUCGGUUCUGGAGGUUUGGAAAGUGGGUGGAUGUUGUGAUAGAUGAUAAAUUACCCACGAUCAAUGGAAAGCUGAUUUUUGUUCACUGCAAAACUAGAAACGAGUUCUGGCCGGCACUGCUGGAGAAAGCGUACGCCAAAGUGUGUGGAUCGUAUGCAGAUCUACGUGAUGGUUUGGUGUCGGAGGCUCUGCGUGAUUUUACUGGCAGAGUUUUUUUUACACUCACACUGGAGCCCGAUCGUCCCAAAUACUGGAGUCUGAUGAAGCGAGCAGCUCAGCACAGAUCACUCAUGGGCUGCGGAUCACGACACGGGGCCACGUCUGCUAACACAGAGCUUCCCAACGGCAUCGUGGAGAGACACGCCUACACCAUCACUGACGUCCACAAGGUGCUGAGUAAUGGUGAAUCGGUGAAGCUGGUGCGCCUGCUGAACCCCUGGGGACGGAAGGAGUGGAAGGGACAAUGGAGUGCCCGCUCCCCACUGUGGAAAACCGUGAGCGCCGAGGAUCGAACCAAACUGCUGGACAGUAAAGAGGACGGAGAAUUCUGGAUGUCGAUGGAGGAUUUCUGCAGAAACUUUGCUCAUGUGGAUAUCUGCUGCAGGAGUCCAGUGUUCCUGGACGACUCCUCGGAGAACAGCUGGACCAGAGUGAUGUAUGAAGAGAGGUGGGAGAAGGAGACAGCCAGCAUCUCCAGAGACGGACAGACCUUUUGGAUGAACCCUCAGUAUUGGAUGAAGGUUCCACACCUGGACGAGAAUCAGACUGAAUCACAGAGUCACAGAAACGUCCUUGUGUCUCUGAUGCAGGAACCCAAAAGCAGACACAGACGUCUGGUUCAGAACCAUCCCAUCGGCUUCAGUGUGUUCAUGGUUCCACCGGAGCUGAGGGAUCAGAAAACAUUUCCAGCUUCGUUCUUCACCUCCAGCUCUCCUGUGAAGGAGUCUCCACUCAAGUCAGGGACUCGGGAGGUGGUGGAGUUCUUCAGACUGAGACCGGGGUGGUACCUCAUCGUACCAUUCACCUCCAUACCCAACCUUACCGCCUCCUUCUUCCUCACUGUGCACACCAAUGCAGCAGAGAGCAGCUUCACUCCUGAAUCCUGCAGGUUAUUGUGACUCAGGUUCAGAUCUCUCAGAUUGGAGGAGUUUGAACUGAGAACUGAGGACAGAACUGCACAACUUUCAUCUGUUAGAGAACAACCAGCCAACCUGAGAAAGAAAAGAUGACACAUUAAAUUGUUGGAAUUUGAAUCUCGCUUAUUUUGUCUUCUACUGCUGAGGGAUACCAGAUUACAUCUGUGGCGCUGCACACAUCUUUUGACACAUGAACACCCCUCCUCUUCUCACCUCUGCAUUCUGCACAGGCGUUUCUUCCACCAAUCAGAGUUCUUACACAGCGUAUAAAGACCCACCCACCCACACAUAGCCCACCCAACUCCCACAAAUACGCUGGCUAAUGCCAAUUAUGCCCGCCAGACGACACCCAGCCGACUGGUGGCAACUCCGAAUUUCAAAACAAGGAGUAUAGAAUCUCAGCACUGGUGUGCUAGCGGAACAUCCUGGGUGCUUUUUGUUUAUUUUUUGUUACUCUAAUAAGAUUUGAUGUUUGUUUACUUCUGUAAUAGAAGUAAAUGAUGAAGUGCUUAUAAGCAGCGGGGAGGAAUUUAAAAAAGAAAUGUUCAUGUAAUGAAAAGAUUAACUUGUACUGUAUGGAUUACUGUUAACACCACAUCCUGAAACCCAUACUGUUUACAGUAUUCCACACAGCAGUCUGUGGAUUUUAAAUGAGAUUUUAAAUGUGACUGUUAGAACAUGAACAAAUCAGAUCAUGAAAUAUAAGUGAUAAACAGUAAUGCCAAUUAUUAGUU